rnacentral:rRNA from 1 species
GACGAACGCUGGCGGCGUGCUUAACACAUGCAAGUCGAGCGGUAAGGCCCUUUCGGGGGUACACGAGCGGCGAACGGGUGAGUAACACGUGGGUGACCUGCCCUCAGCUCUGGGAUAAGCCUGGGAAACCGGGUCUAAUACUGGAUAUGACUCCAUGACGCAUGUUGUGGGGUGGAAAGCCUUGUGCGGCUGAGGAUGGGCCCGCGGCCUAUCAGCUUGUUGGUGGGGUGAGGCCUACCAAGGCGACGACGGGUAGCCGGCCUGAGAGGGCGACCGGCCACACUGAGACUGAGACACGGCCCAGACUCCUACGGGAGGCAGCAGUGGGGAAUCUUGCGCAAUGGGCGAAAGCCUGACGCAGCGACGCCGCGUGAGGGAUGACGGCCUG